UACAGAGGUCCCGAGCGUUGUUCGGAUUCAUUGGGCGUAAAGGGUGCGUAGGCGGCGGGGCAAGUCUGAUGUGAAAUCCCGGGGCUCAACCCCGGAACUGCAUUGGAUACUGCCUUCUUGAGUACUGGAGAGGGAACUGGAAUUUACGGUGUAGCAGUGAAAUGCGUAGAGAUCGUAAGGAAGGCCAGUGGCGAAGGCGGGUCUCUGGCCCGAUACUGACGCUGAGGCACGAAAGCGUGGGGAGCAAACAGG
rnacentral:rRNA from 1 species